GUUACCAUUUUGCAUGUUAUAUGGUAGGGUUUUAGUCACCGAGUGAACUGCAAAGGAUACGCGAUGGUCCUUUCUUCCCCAUCAUUUAGGUGGGAGGCAUUCCCUCAUCCUGAGAGUGGCCUGGCUGUGGUACAUCUCUGUGGCUGUAAGCAUGUAUUUUAGGAGGGCCUUUGGAGAAGCCUGUCAUCCUUGACCUCAUCAUCGGGGGCCUCAUCAUCGGUGGCCUCAUCACAAUGUCCUGCUUGGCUGUCUCUGUGGCAUCACUGUGGCUCUCCCUAUAGCUUUGUGUGUGAUAGACAUCCUGGCUACAUCUCAUUGAUCAGAGGACAGCUAGGCCCCAGGAAGCUCAGUCAGCCUGAUUGCUCCACUGGGAAAGAUCUGGAAACUGGGAGCAACUCUAGGACUCUGAGGCCACAUAGUUUCAAGUGGACUCUAGUGACCUCUAUGACUCCAGUGACCUCACCCUUACAGAUGCUCAAAGGUUACCUCCUCAGGACUGGCCAGGGGUGGGCAUGCAGCCUCUACUUUUUGCAUCUGCCAGCACACAGUUGUAUGCUCAUCCUCUCUUUCACCUGUAAGAUCAGUUGAAUGAAAAGCUUUACCUCAUGAUUACACUGGACUCCAACGACCACAACUUUUAUGCUGACCUCUGGUGGAGAAAUCCUGCCAGACCCUGUCCUGCCAUCCUCCUACCCUCACCCCCUACCUUUCAAGCCCUGACCUGAAGAAGAUGGGGUAUUUCUCAUGUGUGUGUGGUGUCUCCAUUUUAAUAUAGAUAAUGCUCUUUUGUAAGUAAAAAAAAAAAAUAAGAAAGAAAAAAGAAAGAAAGAAAUACAUGUUUUGUUACAUAGUUAUCAGAGUCUUGGAAAGAAAAGGCAAAAAUGAUUUCCAAAAAUAUAUUUAAAGCUUUUUUUUAUAGAUUCAGAAAUGAGAUUCCACUGUGGGACUGUGUAAGUUUAUCAACCAUUGAAAGCAGAUAGCUGGGGGUCAUGCAUCUCAAAUUUUUAGGAUAGUCCUUCUUUCAAAUAUUUUCAUUUGUUAUCAUCAUCCAUAUCAUGUGUUUUCAUAGUUUAAGAAAGAUGGUGAUUACAUGCUUGUGUAAAGUAUGAGUUGAGAAUAUGAAAAAGAGUGAAAGUCUACAAUCUAAUGUGUUUUUGUCAACAAAGCCAUUUAUUUAGGAGAUUUUGCAAGCACCACUGUGUUAUAUACCAGUAGGCCCAAAUUAUGUUCACAUUUUGUCUUGAUUUGACACCUUUACAUUUUCAAUUCAAAGCUAUACACACCAUGGUAAUAUUUAAAUUUCAAUUCUUAGCUAGUUUUUCGGAGCCUUGCUACUCAAAUUGUGGUCCAAAGACCAGAGACAUCAAUGUCAGAAGGGGGCU
rnacentral:lncRNA from 12 species